AGAGUUUGAUCAUGGCUCAGGACGAACGCUGGCGGCGCGCCUAACACAUGCAAGUCGAACGAGAGAGAGGAAGCUUGCUUCCUCAAUCGAGUGGCGAACGGGUGAGUAACGCGUGAGGAACCUGCCUCAAAGAGGGGGACGAACAGUUGGAAACGACUGCUAAUACCGCAUAAGCCCACAGGUCGGCAUCGACCAGAGGGAAAAGGAGCAAUCCGCUUUGAGAUGGCCUCGCGUCCGAUUAGCUAGUUGGUGAGGUAAUGGCCCACCAAGGCAACGAUCGGUAGCCGGACUGAGAGGUUGAACGGCCACAUUGGGACUGAGACACGGCCCAGACUCCUACGGGAGGCAGCA
rnacentral:rRNA from 1 species